rnacentral:rRNA from 1 species
AUGCACGCUGGCGGCGUGCUUAACACCUGCAAGUCGCACGAAGCACUUUAUUUGAUUUCCUUCGGGACUGAUUAUUUUGUGACUGAGUGGCGGACGGGUGAGUAACGCGUGGGUAACCUGCCUUGUACAGGGGGAUAACAGUUGGAAACGGCUGCUAAUACCGCAUAAGCGCACGGCAUCGCAUGAUGCAGUGUGAAAAACUCCGGUGGUAUAAGAUGGACCCGCGUUGGAUUAGCUAGUUGGUGAGGUAACGGCCCACCAAGGCGACGAUCCAUAGCCGACCUGAGAGGGUGACCGGCCACAGUGGGACUGAGACACGGCCCAAACUCCUACGGGAGGCAGCAGUGGGGAAUAUUGCACAAUGGGCGAAAGCCUGAUGCAGCGACGCCGCGUGAGCGAAGAAGUAUUUCGGUAUGUAAAGCUCUAUCAGCAGGGAAGAUAAUGACGGUACCUGACUAAGAAGCACCGGCUAAAUACGUG